UUUAAAUUCAUUAUUUAAAAUUAAAGAUAUUUAAAUUGUUAAAUGUUAUAAUUCUAGAUGUUUAUUUAAAUGCUGCGUGCCUUUUGACGGUUACAUGCGCGUAAACAUUGAGUCGCAAAAGCUAUCUGAUUCAAAGACAGGAGCGCGCGCGAGCACGAGCAGAUGGAAACCAUGGAAACGAGGAAACCUCAUCAACUGACAAACAGCAAGACUAGUCUCUCACUGUUGUUUUCUCUGCUUUCAGGUAAGUUUAGUUACCAAAAUCACUCAAAUAAUACAUAUAAAUGUUCCGGACACCUUUCUUACGUGUAAUUGAUACACUUCUGUUGAAUAUUUACUUUAUAGAAAUGGUUUUGUGUCUUCCGAAAAAGUCCGUUAGCCUCUCCGUUUUCAGAAGAGCUAAGUUAAGUUUACGUUACAAUUGAGCUCUUGUUUUACAUAAGUUUGGGUUUUUAACCACAUUUUUGUGUUGAUAACAGUUUUUGAUAGUUUUGUUUUGCUGGUAAUUUGUCAGUGGGUGGGAAGUAAGCUAAGUUAUUUAACCUGAAAUAAUUCAUUGUAACGUACUGUUAAUGACGUCACUUACAAAGAUUGAUAAUAAGUGAUUUCAGGAGGAACAGAAAAAAACCCUCCACAACAAAGGGGGAAUUAUUGUUUAUCAUGAUAAUAAUUUGCAUUUAUUGCAUGCACAAUAUAUUACGUUACGAUUUUUUAUAUUCUUUAUCUUUUCUGCAUUUCAUCUCUGCUCUUGCUUGCUUCCUUGUAAUAAACCAUUUGUCCUAUUGUAAAUUCUAUGUAACAUUGUUGGCUCUGUGACAUGUUAUUUUCUAGAAGAUCAUCUGAUUGCCUGCUGCACCCCCUGGUCCAAGACAAUCUGCACGGCUAUGAACUCGACUAAUGAGGUAUGAAUGAUCAUUUGACCCUGUGAUUCUUCAGGACAAGAUCUUGAUGCCAUCCACACUCAGUACAUAAGGAAGGUUUUCUGGGAUCCACAGCGGAAGGGAUCAAGGCGUGAGAUGUUGGCUUGGACAGAUGUACCUGUACACCACACCGUGCACCGCACCUGCAACGAAUAAUUUAAAAAGGUGUAACUGAUGUGUUAUGUUUGUGAGAGAAAGGGAAAAAACAUUUUCUCGAAGACUAAAAUAUACAAAUUGCAGUGUUAUAGGGACUAUGUUUUGCUUCAAUAAUACUAGAUAUAAUAAAGUCAAGUCAAGUCACAUUUAUUUAUAUAGCGCUUUUCACAAUACAGAUUGUAUCAAAGCAGCUUCA